UUGCUCGCUUCGACAGCACAUGUACUAAAAUUGUAACGAUACAGAGAAGAUUAGCAUGGCCCUUGCGCAAGGACGACAUGCGGACUCCUGAAGCGUUCUAUAUUUUU
ensembl:snRNA RNU6-582P RNA, U6 small nuclear 582, pseudogene